CCUACGGGCGGCAGCAGUGAGGAAUAUUGGUCAAUGGACGAGCGUCUGAACCAGCCAAGUAGCGUGAAGGAUGACUGCCCUAUGGGUUGUAAACUUCUUUUAUAAAGGAAUAAAACGAGGCACGUGUGCCUUUUUGCAUGUACUUUAUGAAUAAGGAUCGGCUAACUCCGUGCCAGCAGCCGCGGUAAUACGGAGGAUCCGAGCGUUAUCCGGAUUUAUUGGGUUUAAAGGGAGCGUAGAUGGGUUGUUAAGUCAGUUGUGAAAGUUUGCGGCUCAACCGUAAAAUUGCAAUUGAUACUGGCAGUCGUGAGUACAGUUGAGGUAGGCGGAAUUCGUGGUGUAGCGGUGAAAUGCUUAGAUAUCACGAAGAACCCCGAUUGCGAAGGCAGCUUACUAAACUGUGACUGACAUUGAUGCUCGAAAGUGUGGGUAUCAAACAGGAUUAGAUACCCCUGUAGUC
rnacentral:rRNA from 1 species